GAUGAACGCUGGCGGCGUGCCUAAUACAUGCAAGUCGAGCGAACGGACGAGAAGCUUGCUUCUCUGAUGUUAGCGGCGGACGGGUGAGUAACACGUGGAUAACCUACCUAUAAGACUGGGAUAACUUCGGGAAACCGUAGCUAAUACCGGAUAAUAUUUUGAACCGCAUGGUUCAAAAGUGAAAGACGGUCUUGCUGUCACUUAUAGAUGGAUCCGCGCUGCAUUAGCUAGUUGGUAAGGUAACGGCUUACCAAGGCAACGAUGCAUAGCCGACCUGAGAGGGUGAUCGGCCACACUGGAACUGAGACACGGUCCAGACUCCUACGGGAGGCAGCAGUAGGGAAUCUUCCGCAAUGGGCGAAAGCCUGACGGAGCAACGCCGCGUGAGUGAUGAAGGUCUUCGGAUCGUAAAACUCUGUUAUUAGGGAAGAACAUAUGUGUAAGUAACUGUGCACAUCUUGACGGUACCUAAUCAGAAAGCCACGGCUAACUACGUGCCAGCAGCCGCGGUAAUACGUAGGUGGCAAGCGUUAUCCGGAAUUAUUGGGCGUAAAGCGCGCGUAGGCGGUUUUUUAAGUCUGAUGUGAAAGCCCACGGCUCAACCGUAGAGGGUCAUUGGAAACUGGAAAACUUGAGUGCAGAAGAGGAAAGUGGAAUUCCAUGUGUAGCGGUGAAAUGCGCAGAGAUAUGGAGGAACACCAGUGGCGAAGGCGACUUUCUGGUCUGUAACUGACGCUGAUGUGCGAAAGCGUGGGGAGCAAACAGG
rnacentral:rRNA from 1 species